GAUGAAGAACGCAGCGAAAUGCGAUACGUAAUGUGAAUUGCAGAAUUCAGUGAAUCAUCGAAUCUUUGAACGCACAUUGCGCCCCUUGGUAUUCCAUGGGGCAUGCCUGUUCGAGCGUCAUUUGUACCUUCAAGCUCUGCUUGGUGUUGGGUGUUUGUCUCGCCUCUGCGUGUAGACUCGCCUUAAAACAAUUGGCAGCCGGCGUAUUGAUUUCGGAGCGCAGUACAUCUCGCGCUUUGCACUCAUAACGACGACGUCCAAAAGUACAUUUUUACACUCUUGACCUCGGAUCAGGUAGGGAUACCCGCUGAACUUAAGCAUAUCAAUAAGCGGAGGA
rnacentral:misc_RNA from 1 species